rnacentral:misc_RNA from 1 species
CCAAUUGAUUAUACAUUGUGUUUAUAGGUCGGGUGAGUCAAAAACUCCUCGUUGAAAGGUUUACUUUAUGGCCGAACUCUGUCCGAUUGAAUUCUUGAAAUUGGGCCCAAUAGGCCUUAGAGUUGAUUCAAGGAAUAGUUAAACUUACUACGGGUCUCGGGAGCUUUAGACCGGCCCAGGUCCUAGUGCCGAUCCGGCCCAUAGGUUGGGGCGUGACAUUAAUUCUGUUCCUUUAUUUUCUA